AACGCACCUUGCGCUCUCUGGUAUUCCGGAGAGCAUGUCUGUUUGAGUGUCAUGAACUCUUCAACCUACCGAUUUCUAGUAAAUCGGAUUAGUGUUUGGAUUUUGAACGCUUGCUGGCCUUUAUUGGCGAAGCUCGUUCGUAAAUGAUUAGCAUCUCAUAUUCGAAAAAUCGGAUUGACUCAGUGUAAUAGACUAUUCGCUGAGGACGCUCUUUCGGGAGUGGCCGAGUUUUGUAAAGUAGAAGCUUCUAAUUCUAUUAGUCAACUUUAGAUUAGACCUCAGAUCAGGCAGGAUUACCCGCUGAACUUAA
rnacentral:misc_RNA from 2 species